UACGAAGGGGGGCUAGCGUUGCUCGGAAUGACUGGGCGUAAAGGGCGCGUAGGCGGAUGGCACAGUCAGAUGUGAAAUUCCCGGGCUUAACCUGGGGGCUGCAUUUGAUACGUGUUGUCUAGAGUGAGGAAGAGGGUUGUGGAAUUCCCAGUGUAGAGGUGAAAUUCGUAGAUAUUGGGAAGAACACCGGUGGCGAAGGCGGCAACCUGGUCCUUGACUGACGCUGAGGCGCGAAAGCGUGGGGGAGCAAACAGG
rnacentral:rRNA from 1 species